GUAACGAGCGCGAACCCUUGUCCUUAGUUACCAGCACGUUAUGGUGGGCACUCUAAGGAGACUGCCGGUGACAAACCGGAGGAAGGUGGGGAUGACGUCAAGUCAUCAUGGCCCUUACGGCCUGGGCUACACACGUGCUACAAUGGUCGGUACAAAGGGUUGCCAAGCCGCGAGGUGGAGCUAAUCCCAUAAAACCGAUCGUAGUCCGGAUCGCAGUCUGCAACUCGACUGCGUGAAGUCGGAAUCGCUAGUAAUCGUGAAUCAGAAUGUCACGGUGAAUACGUUCCCGGGCCUU
rnacentral:rRNA from 1 species